UACGUAGGGGGCAAGCGUUGUCCGGAUUUAUUGGGCGUAAAGAGCUCGUAGGCGGUUUGUCGCGUCUGCUGUGAAAACUGGAGGCUCAACCUCCAGCCUGCAGUGGGUACGGGCAAACUAGAGUGCGGUAGGGGAGAUUGGAAUUCCUGGUGUAGCGGUGGAAUGCGCAGAUAUCAGGAGGAACACCGAUGGCGAAGGCAGGUCUCUGGGCCACUACUGACGCUGAGAAGCGAAAGCAUGGGGAGCGAACAGG
rnacentral:rRNA from 1 species